rnacentral:rRNA from 1 species
UACGUAGGGUGCGAGCGUUAAUCGGAAUUACUGGGCGUAAAGCGUGCGCAGGCGGUUUUGUAAGUCAGAUGUGAAAUCCCCGGGCUCAACCUGGGAACUGCAUUUGAGACUGCAAAGCUAGAGUGUGGCAGAGGGGGGUGGAAUUCCACGUGUAGCAGUGAAAUGCGUAGAGAUGUGGAGGAACACCGAUGGCGAAGGCAGCCCCCUGGGCCAAUACUGACGCUCAUGCACGAAAGCGUGGGGAGCAAACAGGAUUAGAAACCCUGGUAGU